AGCCGUCGGAAUCAGCUCUGCUCCAUAUUGCAAGCCAAUGUUGAACGUGAUGUUGACACAAAAUCGACCAAUGAUGGCCAAGACGGCAGUCAAAACAGCUUCGUCUACUCACCAGAUUUUUCACGUUAGCGGAACGAAAUUUCAUCUCGAAUGACAUCACAGCACAGCACAGCUUACCACUGGGUACGGCUAAAGUAGCCAAACUGAAAGCAGCAGCUCCCAUCAGAGAACCAAAGGCCAGGGCACGGCGACCCCAACGGUCCAGGAAGAAAACCAGAACCAAAUCAGCUGGAAGCUCUGUGACGGAUGCCACGCUGAAUGUCAGGAAGACACUCAGUCCCAAAUUGGCCGUGUUACGGGCAUGGCCAUCGUAAACGAGUGCAAUCAAGGCCCAGAAAACAGUGAGCAGAAUAGUAUUACGUCUGAGCCGAGGUGUUCGAAGCAAGUCGAGUACCGAUGCUGCAGGCUCCUGGGCACUGGCCUGCAUGGCUUCAGCAUUUGAAGCCUAAACGGAAUUCAAUGUAGGAAGGAAAAAAAAAAAAAACAUUUUGUAGUUUUAAUAGUUUAGGUUAGCAGCAAAUGAAAAGUACUCAAUUACCUUGAGUUUUUCAUAGACAUUCUCAUCAACCCGUUUCUUGUUGAUGCGAGCGAAAGUUCUCAAUAUGGAAAUUGCCCGGUCUGUUUGCCCUUGAGACAGCAACCAACUGUCAAAUGAGGUAUCCGGUUUCAUAUUUUAUAAUUUCCAUUAAAAAUCGUGCGCCCUUGAAUGAAUUGAAUUCCGCGUUUACCGAGCGCUUUCAGGAACGAUCCAGUAAGCGGUGACAGCCAGUGUCAUAGGGAUGGAAGUGGCCAAACUGAACAUUCGCCAAUCACUAAUACCCCAAGCGAUCCAUGGCAAAAGUGUAGUGCCGGCCGUGUAAAACAAGGCGAUGGACAAAUUUGCCACCAUUGUCCGAAUGUACAUGAGCGUGAAUGAAUUGUCGAAGGCGAUGCCCAUUAGAAAACGGGAAAAGGCGAACAAUUCGAAGCUGUUGGAGACGGCAGUAGUGAUGCCAGCCAAUCCACCGAUCAAGUUGCACAAGAUGAGGGCAGGAAUGCGACCAAAACGGUCAGCGAUGUAACCGAGGGCGAUGCCACCUACGAUACUCCCCAAAAAGAAGACAGCUUGCGCUAAGGGAGCAUGACCGGCCUUGUCACAGACCCAGUUAUUCUACGCACGUAUAUACAUAUUACAUUGAUAACACAAAAAUAUCUCUACUGACUUCUGUUAUGGCCGAAUGGUAGCGGAUUUGUUCCAAGUCGUAAUCCCAUCCAUUCUGGCAUGGAAUCGUCGGCCACGUCUCGUUGGGUUGCAGUCCCUCAUUCAGUACUAAUUCGUAAUCGACGUCAUACAUCAUACAACUAUCGAAGGUCGGGGGACCGCCCAACACUGUCUGCGUCACCAACGGAAUGCUUAUCUCUCUCCUAAAAAGGUUGAGGCCCGAAUCGUUGAGUUGCGGUACGUGGCAGGUAUGGACGUCUAUCAGCGUGACGAACACCUGGCUGAAUACAACGAACGCCAUGAAAAAGCAAAAUGGUGCGGUCAGGAAGAACAGGAUAAUCUGAUAAGUGCCAAACUCGCCAAUGAACGGCAAGACGUCGUCAAAAUCCAUUGUUUCAUCAUCUUGCGCCGAUGAUAAAUUGCACACAGCAUGAGCAGGAAAGUCCGUGUGUUGAUGAGCUCUGGAGCCCGUAGUCCCCUCGUUAUUGGGGGUUUGAAUUCGAACUUUUGAGUUAGGUUUGUUAGCGUUGUACUGGGCGAAAUAGGGCUCGUGAAUCUUUUCACUGGUUUCGUUUUUCACAUAAGCAAUAUUGUUCACUCCUCCAUCGUAAUUGGGCUCUUCGGCCAUUGUUACAGCCAACGUGUGUUUCUGGGGCGAAAUUCGAAUUAAUUCACCACCACUUUCCGAUGAACUAUUUACGCACACAAUUUAUGACCACCUGCAAUAGUCUGACGACGUGUCACUACUUAAUUCUUUGAGUUGACUUACGACACUGUAUCCUAAGAUGU